AUGGAGCAGAUUUUGCUUUGCCUUCUGUUUCUCAAUUACUGGACAGGUAACGUCUUCAGUGCUAGCAAGUGUGGCGUUUGCUCCUUGUUUAUAUACAGCACUGGUCCUGCCAUUGUUGGUGGAAGUGGUGUUCUCUUUGGUGUUGUUUCUCAGGUUGGAUUGGUUCAACCGCCUUUCCAAUCUGCAGCUCUUGGGAACAAAAUAAGACUUGCCUGUGACGUGAUGGUUGGGUACGAGGAAUAUGCAAUCUCGUGGUAUCAACAGAGAGCAGGGCAGGCACCACGACUCGUGUUGACGUCCAAUUACUCCAGAGGCCACGGGAUCCCAAAUCGGUUCUCUGGCUUCAAAUCAGACAACACACACUAUUUAAUCAUCACCAACGUCCAGCCCGAGGAUGAAGCAACGUAUUAUUGUGGAGGAAGUUACGGUUUUGCAUAA